CAAUAGCGUAUAUUUAAGUUGCUGCAGUUAAAAAGCUCGUAGUUGGAUUUCGGGUGGGAAUGGCCGGUCCGCCGUUUCGGUGUGCACUUGCUACGCCCACCUUGCUGCCGGGGACGUGCUCUUGAGUUCACGCUCGGGACACGGAGUCGGCGAGGUUACUUUGAGUAAAUUAGAGUGUUCAAAGCAGGCCUACGCUCUGAAUACAUUAGCAUGGAAUAACACGAUAGGACUCUGGCCUAUCUUGUUGGUCUGUAGGACCGGAGUAAUGAUUAACAGGGACAGUCGGGGGCAUUCGUAUUUCAUUGUCAGAGGUGAAAUUCUUGGAUUUAUGAAAGACGAACUACUGCGAAAGCAUUUGCCAAGGAUGUUUUCAUUAA
rnacentral:rRNA from 1 species